rnacentral:rRNA from 1 species
CCCAGACUCCUACGGGAGGCAGCAGUGAGGAAUAUUGGUCAAUGGCCGAGAGGCUGAACCAGCCAAGUCGCGUGAGGGAAGACGGCCCUAUGGGUCGUAAACCUCUUUUGUCAGGGAGCAAAGGCGUCCACGUGUGGACGAGAGGAGAGUACCUGAAGAAAAAGCAUCGGCUAACUCCGUGCCAGCAGCCGCGGUAAUACGGAGGAUGCGAGCGUUAUCCGGAUUUAUUGGGUUUAAAGGGUGCGCAGGCGGAAUGUCAAGUCAGCGGUAAAAUUUCGGGGCUCAACCCCGUCGUGCCGUUGAAACUGGCGUUCUUGAGUGAGCGAGAAGUAUGCGGAAUGCGUGGUGUAGCGGUGAAAUGCAUAGAUAUCGCGCAGAACUCCGAUUGCGAAGGCAGCAUGCCGGCUCCACACUGACGCUGAGGCACGAAAGCGUGGGUAUCGAACAGGAUUAGAUA